UACGUAGGGUGCAAGCGUUAUCCGGAAUUAUUGGGCGUAAAGAGCUCGUAGGCGGUUUGUCGCGUCUGCUGUGAAAACUGGAGGCUCAACCUCCAGCCUGCAGUGGGUACGGGCAGACUAGAGUGCGGUAGGGGAGAUUGGAAUUCCUGGUGUAGCGGUGGAAUGCGCAGAUAUCAGGAGGAACACCGAUGGCGAAGGCAGAUCUCUGGGCCGUAACUGACGCUGAGGAGCGAAAGCAUGGGGAGCGACAGG
rnacentral:rRNA from 1 species